CCUACGGGAGGCAGCAGUGGGGAAUAUUGCACAAUGGGGGAAACCCUGAUGCAGCGACGCCGCGUGCGUGAAGAAGUAUCUCGGUACGUAAAGCUCUAUCAGCAGGGAAGAAAAUGACGGUACCUGACUAAGAAGCCCCGGCAACCUACGUGCCAGCAGCCGCGGUAAGUCGUAGGGGGCAGGGGUUAACCGGAUUUACUGGUGCAAAGGGGGGGUAGACGGCAGCACAAGUCUGGAGUGAAAUCCCGGGGCUUAACCCCGGAACUGCUUUGGAGACUGUGCGGCUGGAGUGCAGGGGGGGUAAGCGGAAUUCCUAGUGUAGCGGUGAAAUGCGUAGAUAUUAGGAGGAACACCGGUGGCGAAGGCGGCUUACUGGACUGUAACUGACGUUGAGGCUCGAAAGCGUGGGGAGCAAACAGGAUUAGAUACCCCAGUAGUC
rnacentral:rRNA from 1 species